rnacentral:rRNA from 1 species
AUGGAUCGAGCUACUACUUUUCACUAUGGAAGGCCUUCUACACUGGAUUUCAACCCGGACCUUGCAGUUGUAGAUCAGGUACGUCGAUGUUUUGCAGAAAUGGUUCACUUCUCACCAUCUCGCAAUACUAAGGAAUUUUUCUUGGUGGUAUCUUUCUCUUCCGCCUCGUUUCCUCUCUCUGUAGAAUCUGUGGCUUUGGCUUUACAAUGUUGCAUUGGUGGGCACCCAAAAGGGUUUAAGGUUUCAAAGAUCAAUGACACAUCAUUUCCCUUUUCGGUGGCUGGCAACAAAGUGGGACAUUUCAUUCAUGGCCUCAAGGACCGUAUUUGGCCGGAUUUCAUUUUUUGUUUUCAUUUGUUCAAUGGUCGUUCCAAUGGUUAUAAGCAUUUUGAAAAUUAG